rnacentral:rRNA from 1 species
UACGAACUGUGCAAACGUUAUUCGGAAUCACUGGGCUUACAGGGUGCGUAGGCGGUCUGUUAAGUAGGGUGUGAAAGCCCCCGGCCCAACCGGGGAAUUGCGCCCUAAACUGGCGGACUGGAGUGAGAUAGGGGUGUGCGGAACUUCCGGUGGAGCGGUGAAAUGUGUUGAUAUCGGAAGGAACGCCGGUGGCGAAAGCGGCACACUGGAUCUCAACUGACGCUGAGGCACGAAAGCCAGGGGAGCGAACGGG